rnacentral:tRNA from 1 species
GACCUAUGAUAGCUCAGCUGGUUAGAGCGUGGUGCUGAUAACGCCAAGGCUGCAGGUUCGAUCCCCGUAUGGGACA